CCUACGGGUGGCAGCAGUGAGGAAUAUUGGUCAAUGGGCGGGAGCCUGAACCAGCGAAGUCGCGUGAAGGAAGAAGGUACUUAGUAUGUUAAACUUCUUUUGUCGGGGAACAAAGGCGGAGACGCGUCUACGGAUGAGUGUACCCGAAGAAAAAGCAUGGGCAAACUCCGUGCCAGCAGCCGCGGUAAUACGGAGGAUGCGAGCGUUACGCGGAUUUAGUGGGGUUAAAGGGGGCGGAGGGGGGAGAUGAAGUCAGCGGUAAAAUGUCGGGGGUAAACCCCGGCCGGCCGUUGAAACUGGGUUUCUAGAGUUCGGGAGGAGUAAGCGGAAUUCCUUGUGU
rnacentral:rRNA from 1 species